GACGAACGUUGGCGGCGUGCUUAAUACAUGCAAGUCCACUGAAGCAGUGGUAGCAAUAUCGCUGUGGAGGUGGCGCACGGGUGAGUAACACGUAGGUAAUCUGCCUUCAGGUCUGGCAUAACUCCGGGAAACCGGGGCUAAUAGCAGAUGAUGCAGCGGCUCGACAUCGUGACAGUUGUUAAAGCUAUGGCGCCUGAAGAUGAGCCUGCGUCUGAUUAGCUAGUUGGCGGGGUAACGGCCCACCAAGGCAACGAUCAGUAGCUGGUCUGAGAGGAUGACCAGCCAGAGUGGAACUGAGACACGGCUCAGACUGCUACGCGAGGCAGCAGUAAGGAAUAUUGCGCAAUGGGAGAAAUCCUGAAGCAGCAACGCCGCGGGAGGGACGAAGGGCUUUUGCUUGUAAAGCUCUGUAGUGAGAGAAAAAAAUCCCAAUCUGUGGGACAUGAUGGUAUCUCAAAAGUAAGCCCCGGCUAACUACGUG
rnacentral:rRNA from 1 species